UUUAUUAAUAAAGCAGUGUGCGCAGUGAUAAAGUGAUAAUUCGUUUACCAUUAUUCUCCUGAGAGAAAUAAAAUUCCAACAGGUUAUAGGCUCAGCACGUGGUGACGAAUUUUAUCCUGGGAAAGAGAACAAGAACCGUAUACAGGUUAGAUUAUAAAUUCAAUUUACAAAAAUAUUCAGAAUUGUACUAAUUUUGUACAUCAGAUUUUUGUGCUGAGAGAAUUAAAGAGGAAAACAAUUAUUUCGAGCCAUCAAUUAAACAUGCAGAAACAAGGACCAUAAGUCCAACAGUUUAUUAUUAAGAAAAUAUAAGUGAAUAUCUAACGUGAAAUCCUAAAAUCAAGAACGUAGUACGUUUCAUGAUUUAAAAGUUAUGUAUGACAUGAGGACAUGUAAAAAUACAACGUCCCCAGACACGUAAUUUGCUUACAUAUCAAACAUUUUUCUUCAGAGAAACAGAGAACACAAAAUUUUUUCUUUUUCUCUUUCAGCACAGGAAAGUAUUGAGAAUCUAAUUAAAAACACAAAUCAAUUGUUGAGUGUACAUUCGCAUAUGCGGCCGCCACCUACCCAUAAAGUAACAAAAAUCUAAAGUUUAGAGAUUUGGUUUAGGAGGGAGUAUGCGAAUGUGGACUAACAAUAAUUUUUUAUUCGAAUAUUGAUAACAGUGUUCUUAAUAUUCAUAUUUAUAGAGAUAAAUGUUUGGCAGAUAUAAUUCAGAUUCAUGGAUGAAAAUUUAGAGAACAAUGGCAAUGGUCAACAAAACUAGACGAGCGAGAAAACAGAACAGUCUCAACUAACUGAAAAACAAUCACAAGGUAUUUAAAAAAAAAGAACAGUAUAAUAAAAUUAUUUAAAAGAAGUCAGAAUAUGGAUCCAUAUGUUCCUGAUAAUACAGAAAAUUUAGAGUCUGUGUAUCUUGAACGAAAUACAAGUCCAAACAUUAAAAUAAAACAUAAUUUUUCAGAGAAUCGAAUGCCCUCAGAAUCUGAUUGGAGUGAACUCAUCAAAGCAAUGAAAGCUCAAGCUGAUGCUACAAACAAUCUAGCUAGCAAAAUUAAUGAAAUGAAUUCAACUAUGGACAAAUUAUUAUCAGAAGAUUUAAAAGAGACAACAAAGCAGUCCAACACAACAUCAUUGACAGUACUUCCAGAAGUGAGUACGCUGCAAGAAAAAUUAAACGAAGCAACCAAUAAAGACACAAAUUUAUUAAGUUCUACCUCUUACGAUCAGAGAUCCGAACCCACUAACACGUUACAACAAACAGACACUGACACAAAUAAUUAGUCCUUAGCAGAAAUAAACAGAACUUUUGCCCAACUGAAUCGAACCUUAGAGUCAAAUUUUCAGAGUAAAGUGCACAUUAAGAGAGACUAUAAACUAAAUAACAAAAGCAAUCUUGACACUUGGAUCGACCAUUUAUAUUCAGAAUUAGCGUCAAAUGAUUUAAAAGAGAUAUUAACUCAUCCUGAAAAAUUUGAAGAUGAUAAUUCAGAGAAAACUAUUAAAAGAAAAACUUUAGUCAGAGAUAUUAUCAUAUCUCAUUUAGAUGUAAACUAUUAUAAGAAAAUUCUAAAAAUAAAUGAGCCAAGUGCAAUCUUAACUAAAAUAAGAAAAAUCAGAAGAAUAGAAUCAAACAUGACUAGCACUUACGUCAGAGAAAAAUUAUAUACUAUUAAGAGAGAUAAGAAGGAAAAAGCAAGUGAUUUUUUCGAUCGGUUUGACAAAAUAGUUACAGAUUAUGACAAUUGUAAUUCAGAAGAAAAAUUAUCUACUGAAGAGAUACGAUCUGCAUUUUACAAAGCAGUAAAAGAUAGCUGUCAUGAACUAAGGUCGGCAUAUCUAGUAAAAAGUCAAGCAGACAUACGCAUGACAUUAGAAGAAAUAAAAAAUUGCAUUUUACUAGUCGAAGCAGACAAACACGGACAGAUAGAGACAAAAGCAAAUUUUGCAAAAAGUAAUCACCAUAAUCAAAAUUUCAAAGAACAAAAAAACUCAUAAAUAAAUAGAGGCAGAGGAAGAGGUUCAUUUAGAGAUUACUUUAAGAGGUAGAGGGAUUUUCAGAAGCAGAACUUUCAAAAAUCAAAGAUUCACACCAUACGACAAGGAGAAUAAACAAAAGCCAAAAAAUGUCAACGCAAAAUUAGCAGAUUAUUCUGAAGAAGAUAAAGAUAAAUAAGGAAAACUAAAAAUUACAAAGGGAGGGAGUGUCGGCCAGAGGCAAGCUUUGUAUUUUUUAUUUAUGCAGCGCAUUUAAAUUUACCGCCACUUGAAAGGCCCUCUAUCAAAUGAUAGAGUCACUAACUUACUUCUUUUCAGACGUUUGAACUGAUCGCGUCGUUUUUUCUAUAUAUUCAGAGUGUUU